GGCGACAUAGCCAAGCGGUAAGGCAGGGGUCUGCAAAACCCUCAUUCCCCAGUUCGAUUCUGGGUGUCGCCUCCA
rnacentral:tRNA from 3 species